rnacentral:misc_RNA from 1 species
GAUGAAGAACGUAGUGAAAUGCGAUAAGUAGUGUGAAUUGCAGAAUUCAGUGAAUCAUCGAAUCUUUGAACGCACAUUGCGCCCCAUGGUAUUCCGUGGGGCAUGCCUGUUCGAGCGUCAUUUACCCCCUCAAGCUCCGCUUGGUGUUGGGCGUCUGUCCCGCUUCGCGCGCGGACUCGCCCCAAAGGUAUUGGCAGCGGUCGUGCCAGCUUCUCGCGCAGCACAUUGCGCUUCUCGAGGCACCGGUGGGCCCGCGUCCAUCAAGCUCACCCCCCCAGUUUGACCUCGGAUCAGGUAGGGAUACCCGCUGAACUUAAGCAUACAAAAAGCGGAGGA